rnacentral:rRNA from 1 species
GACGUAGGGCGCGAGCGUUGUCCGGAUUUAUUGGGCGUAAAGAGCUCGUAGGCGGCUUGUCGCGUCAACUGUGAAAACCCGUGGCUCAACCAUGUGGUCUGCAGUCGAUACGGGCAGGCUAGAAUUCGGUAGGGGAGACUGGAAUUCCUGGUGUAGCGGUGAAAUGCGCAGAUAUCAGGAGGAACACCAGCGGCGAAGGCGGCGCUCUGGGCCGGAACUGACGCUGAGGAGCGAAAGCGUGGGUAGCAAACAGG